GGGGAUAUAAAAAUAAUGCAUUGUAUGCCGGAAGGGAUAAAUCUGGGGCUGAGUACAAGCAAAACAAGACCAAAGGAAGCUACCUGAGCAGGUAUUCCAGAUACUCAUGUCAUACACCAAGGUUGUACCAGUGCCCCUUUCUCUGUGACACAUCCAUCCACUGGAAACUUUCGUACAACUAGCUGAAAGAAGAGAAACAUCCUAUUUCAUGUCACUGGAGCCCUAAUGAUCGCAGCCAUUUCAGGAAAUGCCAUCAAUUACAGUGAGGAGCUCAUUCAGAAGUGAAAGAUGAGUUCCAUUCUCUGUUACUUAGAGUUUUACGGCCCCUAC
rnacentral:lncRNA from 10 species